ACGUAGGGUGCAGGCGUUAAUCGGAAUUACUGGGCGUAAAGCGUGCGCAGGCGGUUUGUUAAGACAGGUGUGAAAUCCCCGGGCUUAACCUGGGAAUUGCGCUUGUAACUGGCAGGCUAGAGUGUGGCAGAGGGGGGUGGAAUUCCACGUGUAGCAGUGAAAUGCGUAGAUAUGUGGAGGAACACCGAUGGCGAAGGCAGCCCCCUGGGUUAACACUGACGCUCAUGCACGAAAGCGUGGGGAGCAAACAGGAUUAGAUACCCUGGUAGUCCACGCCCUAAACGAUGUCAACUAGUUGUCGGGGAAGCAAUUCCUUGGUAACGAAGCUAACGCGUGAAGUUGACCGCCUGGGGAGUACGGCCGCAAGGUUA
rnacentral:rRNA from 1 species